CGACUCUGGUUUCUCUUCAUUACGCACAAGCCUUUCGCCUUUUACUAAACACUUCCGUGG
rnacentral:snRNA from 8 species